rnacentral:rRNA from 1 species
UACGUAGGGGGCUAGCGUUGCUCGGAAUCACUGGGCGUAAAGGGCGCGUAGGCGGAUCUUUAAGUCGGGGGUGAAAGCCUGUGGCUCAACCACAGAAUUGCCUUCGAUACUGGGGAUCUCGAGACCGGAAGAGGUGAGUGGAACUGCGAGUGUAGAGGUGAAAUUCGUAGAUAUUCGCAAGAACACCAGUGGCGAAGGCGGACUCACUGGUCCGUUGUGUGACGCUGAGGCGCGAAAGCGUGGGGAGCAAACAGG